UAAAAUGCCUAUAAAAUUAUUGCCUUUCAGUAAACUCAGAAUUAUGAAUUAUCGCGCACCGAAAAUGUAAGAACAAGGCAGCUUAUAAUUAAAAUUUAUAUGUAACCAGUACGAUUUGGAGGAAUUGUAACACUUGGAUGGACACACCAUUCCUAAGAGAUACAGCUGCAUAAAAUACGUCAUGGCUUUUGGACUUCUCAGCCCUCAUCUGGCUUGAUUUUUCAUUUACCUUGCUAUUUUCGGACACACUUGACGGGAGCGAAGAUCGACAAGCGAAAGGCACAGACCAAAAAUUGCGCAGAACUGUCGCCAGAAGGCCCUUAUAUACCACAUAAGCAGUACAUGCCCGCAUAUACCCAAUACAUCAUCUAUAUAUAAAUAGUAUUCGGACUGCUCCUGAUGUUAUAUACUGUCCGCCGAUCUGCGAGGCGAGGCGGGGCGAGGCGAUGACGCGCAAUUGACGCGGGCAAAGACGCGUUGAAAUCGCGCGAGUAUCGUCGCUGUCGCGUCUAUUUUCGUAUAUCACAUAGAAAAACAGAUACAGAUACAGAUGCAUACAAAGAGAUACAUAUAGAGAUAUAUA